rnacentral:piRNA from 1 species
UGGACUUCGGAUGUCUGUACCAUGUAGGACUC